UGAACGCGAAGAACCUUACCUGGGUUUGACAUGGACGGAAAUCCGGCAGAGAUGUCGGGUCCUUCGGGGCCGUUCACAGGUGGUGCAUGGCUGUCGUCAGCUCGUGUCGUGAGAUGUUGGGUUAAGUCCCGCAACGAGCGCAACCCUUGUCCGAUGUUGCCAGCGGGUUAUGCCGGGGACUCAUCGGAGACUGCCGGGGUCAACUCGGAGGAAGGUGGGGAUGACGUCAAGUCAUCAUGCCCCUUAUGUCCAGGGCUUCACGCAUGCUACAAUGGCCGGUACAAAGGGCUGCGAUACCGUGAGGUGGAGCGAAUCCCAAAAAGCCGGUCUCAGUUCGGAUCGGGGUCUGCAACUUCGACCCCGUGAAGUCGGAGUCGCGUAGUAAUCGCAGAUCAGCAACGCUGCGGUGGAUACAUUCCCGGGUCGUGUACACACGCACAGGG
rnacentral:rRNA from 1 species